CCUACGGGUGGCAGCAGUGAGGAAUAUUGGUCAAUGGACGAGAGUCUGAACCAGCCAAGUAGCGUGAAGGAUGACGGCCCUAUGGGUUGUAAACUGCGUUUAUAAAGGAAUAAAACGAGGCACGUGUGCCUUUUUGCAUGGACUUUAUGAAUAAGGAUCGGCUAACUCCGUGCCAGCAUCCGCGGUAAGACGGCGGAUCCGAGCGGUAUGCGGAUGUAUUUGGGUGAAAGGGAGCGUAGAGGGGUUGUUAAGGCAGUUGUGAAAGUUUGCGGCUCAACCGUUAAAUUGCCAUUGAUACUGGCAGUCUUGUGUACACUUGAGUUCGGCGGUAUUCGUGGUGUAGCUG
rnacentral:rRNA from 1 species